rnacentral:rRNA from 1 species
GAUGAACGCUGGCGGCGUGCUUAACACAUGCAAGUCGAACGGAGUUUAUACGGAAAGCGUCUUCGGAGGUCGGAAGUAUAAACUUAGUGGCGGACGGGUGAGUAACGCGUGGGUAACCUGCCUUAUACAAGGGGAUAACAGAGGGAAACUUCUGCUAAUACCGUAUAAAAAUAUUUCACGCAUGUGAGAUAUUUGAAAGAUUUAUCAGUAUGAGAUGGACCCGCGUCUGAUUAGGUAGUUGGUGAGGUAGAGGCUCACCAAGCCGACGAUCGGUAGCCGAUCUGAGAGGAUGACCGGCCACAUUGGGACUGAGACACGGCCCAAACUCCUACGGGAGGCAGCAGUGGGGAAUAUUGGACAAUGGGGGCAACCCUGAUCCAGCGACGCCGCGUGAGUGAAGAAGUAUUUCGGUAUGUAAAGCUCUAUCGAUAACGGAA